rnacentral:misc_RNA from 1 species
UGGCUCUAGCAUCGAUGAAGAACGCAGCGAAAUGCGAUAAGUAAUGCGAAUUGCAGAAUUCCGUGAAUCAUCGAAUCUUUGAACGCACAUUGCGCCCGCUAGUACUCUGGCGGGCAUGCCUGUCCGAGCGUCAUUUCAACCCCUCUAGCCCCUAAGGCUAGGUGUUGGGGCACGACGGCCUCCCCUGGCCGUCGGCCCUGAAAGGAAGUGGCGGUCCCGUUAGGAACCUCUGCGUAGUAGCGACACUCGCCUAGGAACCGUGCGGUGACCACGCCGAAACCCCCCUAUAUUUCUAGGUUGACCUCGGAUCAGGUAGGAGUACCCGCUGA